GGCCCCUUAGCUCCGGUGGUUAGAGCUGGCGACUCAUAAUCGCACGGUCACCGGUUCAAGUCAGUAGGGGCCACCA
rnacentral:tRNA from 1 species